AUGUCCACUUCCACUGAAGCUCUUUCCACAUUCCAUACAUUGAAAUGGUUUCUCCCUCGUGUGACUUCGUUGGUGUCUUCUAAGUUUCGAACUUGUACUGAAGCUCUUUCCACAUUCAAUACAUUUAAAUGGUUUCUCCCCUGUGUGAAUUUGUUGGUGUAUUCUAAGGUCUCCACUUGUACUGAAGCUCUUUCCACACUCAAAACAUUCAAAUGGUUUCUCCCCUGUGUGAGUUCGUUGGUGUCUUCUAAGUGUAUAAUUUUGACUGAAGCUCUUUCCACAUUCCAUACACUGAAACCGUUUCUCCCCUGUGUGAGUUCGUUGGUGUAUUCUAAGUGCUCCGCUUAUGCUAAAACUCUUUCCACAUUCAAUACAUUUAAAUGGUUUCUCCCCUGUAUGAGUUUGUUGGUGAAUUCUAAGUUUCCCACUUGUACUGAAGCUCUUUCCACAUUCAAUACAUUUAAAUGGUUUCUCCCCUGUGUGAGUUCGUUGGUGUACUCUAAGUGCUCCGCUUAUGCUAAAACUCUUUCCACAUUCAAAACAUCUAAAUGGUUUCUCCCCUGUGUGAGUUCGUUGGUGUACUCUAAGUGCUCCGGUUAUGCUAAAACUCUUUCCACAUUCAAUGCAUUUAAAUGGUUUCUCCCCUGUGUGAGUUCGUUGGUGUAUUCUAAGGUCUCCACUUGUACUGAAGCUCUUUCCACACUCAAAACAUUCAAAUGGUUUCUCCCCUGUGUGUGUUCGUUGGUGUACUCUAAGUGCUCCGCUUAUGCUAAAACUCUUUCCACAUUCAAAACAUCUAAAUGGUUUCUCCCCUGUGUGAGUUCGUUGGUGUACUCUAAGUGCUCCGCUCAUGCUAAAACUCUUUCCACAUUCAAUACAUUUAAAUGGUUUCUCCCCUGUGUGAGUUCGUUGGUGUAUUCUAAGGUCUCCACUUGUACUGAAGCUCUUUCCACACUCAAAACAUUCAAAUGGUUUCUCCCCUGUGUGAGUUCGUUGGUGUAUUCUAAGGUAUCCAUUUUCACUGUAGCUCUUUCCACAUUCAAUACAUUUAUAUGGUUUCUCCCCUGUGUGAGUUUAUUGGUGUACUCUAAGUACUCCACUUUUGCUGAAACUCUUUCCACAUUCAAUACAUUUAAAUGGUUUCUCCCCCGUGUGAAUUCGUUGAUGUAUUCUAAGGUAUCCAUUUUGACUGUAGCUCUUUCCACAUUCAAUACAUUUAUAUGGUUUUUCCCCUGUGUGAGUUUGUUGGUGUAUUCUAAGUUUUCCACUUUCACUGACGCUCUUUCCACAUGCCAUACAUUUAAAUAG
rnacentral:lncRNA from 1 species